GUGACAACAAAUCAAACCCAAGUCGAUUGCGCUUCCUUGUUCAAAUCUAACGACGUCAUAGAAAAAAGCAAAGAAUCCUUUUUUUCAUUUUUUAAAUAAGCUCCUCUUCAGUCACCGGCUUCUUAAAAUUUUUCUUAAUUCUCAGUGUUUCUUUUGAUCAAUUUUCGAAUUUACAGAAGAACGAUUUGCAAGACUUUCUAAUACUGCUUAACAACUGCGGGAACAUUUAAUUGACAAUUAAUUCGAAAAUUACCAUAUUUUGAUUUCAAAAACCUGCCGAAUGAAAAGAUAAUAUCUCAAUACUAGUUUGCUUUGCUCCUUGGUUAUUUUGCUACAUGCUCACUUCAGGGUAGUAACUGCAAUUAUAUUUGAUGACAACUGUUAAUUUAAAAUCGAUUACCUCAGGUAAAGCUAUUGCAUAAAAGAAAUAUCUCAAUUAGAAAAGUUAGAAGGUUACUCAACGAGUCGGCGGGUGUUAAAAAUUUAUUCUCCUAUUCCAUAUUUUAGUCUCAUUUCAGUUAAAGCAAAGUUGGUUGAUUUUAUUUUCUCAAAGAUGAAGUUCCUCAAUGAUAACUUAUUUUUCCGUAUUGUGUUUAUCUUUCUUCUCUCUGCAUUCCCACUUUUUGGAGAGCAAAUUAAAACCCAUCCUGAAAAGAUUAUAAAGUGGUUUCCAGAUUCCGAAUACAGCCACAACUACAACUACCCUUCAAUAGACAUUUACGAUGUGCAAAAUCUUGUCAAAAGCUGGGAAGGCAUAACUCUGAAACUGGAUAGACUUAUCAAUGCUGUCGCAAACUUCGCGGAAGUCCAGCUUUUCCGAGAAUACUACUCUAGAGCCGCCGCGACGAAAUUGGAAAGACGAAACACAAUACGAGAAGAUAAUAACAAUGCUUUGAAUUGGAUCCAAAAAAUCCAAAAAAAUAAACCUAAAAGAGCAAGAAUUUGUACUUAUUCAUUAUUUAAUUGGAAUGGAACCCGGUGCUAAAUGGUUGUUGUUUGAAUUUCUAUCUUUCAACAAUUUAUUCCUCAAAUCCAAUUGUUGAAAAGCUUCUAUAGCCUAAAAUUAAAUGCAGAAACAAUGGAAGCUUGUCAUGUUUUGGAGUUUGAUUGAUUGUAAGCUAGAUGUUAUAUUAGAAAGGCGCAAGAAAAUAGAUAA